rnacentral:lncRNA from 1 species
CUUCUUCUCUCUCCAUCUUCUCACUCGCCGGUUCUCUCUCUCAAAGAAAAAUCGGGAUAUCUCUCUGCCUCUUUCUUUCUUGCUCUCGCCGCCUCCCCUCCCUUCCUACGAACCGGCGUCUCUUCGCCUUCGACCGCCACCACACUCAUCUCUCUAUCCAAUUUCUCGCUCAACCCCCCACCGCUUGCUCUCCCUCACUUAUCUCGGAGACAGAUUUCAUUUCUCUUCAAUAAAUCAUAAGAAGCCCAACCAUCCAA